AUUCCAUGAUCGUUCGUUCGUGCGAUGUACACACGGAGGAGAAACGAUAUUCGAAGAAUCCCUUUGACCGUGGCACGAGCAAACUUUCGAGAAUUUGAUCGGCAUGGCAGCGAAAGAGUGAGCAUAGCUCGACAGUUUUAUCUGGUCCAUGGUAUCGGGAAUGAAUAGCCCGCCGGUAAAUUUAUCGAGGAAACCAUGAAUCGGCUGAAUGCGUAUAUCAUCAAUUCGAUAAGGAGCGUAUCGCUUGGGAAUCCUCCAUAGGCGAUCUCUUUCGAGUUUUCCGAUUGUCGCGUGCGUUUCGCAAUCUUCCAACCUGACUUGUAAGAUAUUCGCGGUCGCGACUAGGUUUUCUCCGUAGAGCAUCGGAUGCGAAGUUCCGAGAAGUACCGCGAUAGAUAAAAAUAGAUAAAAGCGACGGCAUCGGUGGCCCGUUGGCGUUCUGGGAACGCUUUCGUCAAUCAGGGUCACGAGUGCACCGAUGCGCCUCGUUAUGUCUAAAAGCAGUUUCGUGUAACUCCGAGGAAACGAAGGUUUCGUUCAACGAAUGAACGGCAACCGUACUGACCUAAACACGUUCUAGAUGACAAUGCUUUGAUGGAAACGCAUUAACCAACCGAAUUAUCGCGUCGGUUACGUGGUUUCCGUAUUGUUCUUUGCUAUCUCUACCUUGGUACAAUGUUACCGAAGUUAAGGGUAUUUCCCAUUUGCAAUCGAUAGGUAUAUAUUUAAUCAUUUCUGUCCCAAGCAGCGUGUCGCAUAUUUAAUUCGUCGAAAUAAGAAAGCUGAACUAUCAUUUAUAACGAAGAGGAGAGUUCGUAGGUCGCUUGCAAAAGCCUCAAUAACCGUCUCUCUUUCUCGCGUAUACGUCGAUCGAACGAGCUCGACUAUCUUUCGUAACGAUGAGGUGAAAAGAAAAGACAGGGUGGUCGCGUUGCGUUGGUGGAAAGAUAACAGAGCGCGAGUGUGAAAGAAAACAGUGUGCAAUCAACGGUAUGCAUAUACGACACUUUUCGCAUAAAGUUGCAAAAUCGUGCUGCGCGCAAGCAAAAGCAAAAACUAAGCGACUUUUUUUCAAUGCUUCGAUAGCAGUUUGCUUUGUCGUGAACGUGCACGACUUAUUUCUUAAUCCACAAUCGAGGGAACCAAUGUUGAAACCAGGCUUUGCUAAGGACGCGCCCUAUAUUUUUGUAUGUACGUACAAGUACGUUGUAAAAAUAUACGUUUAUCUGCAAAUACGGUUCGUUCUGAUAUAAACAAGAUGGUCAAUCGUCGAACAGUCUUUUCGAAAAAAAAGAUUGUAGUUAAAAAGCAGAAGAAAAUACAGAACACUCGUCGAGUAAGAUGAGCAUGAGCGUAAAGAGGUUAGGUCGAAGAAGUCUGGGAAAGUAGAGCACAGGGAAAUUGGAGGAAAUGCAGUGAGAGGGAGAAAAUGGGAGAAAAAAAAUUGCGGGAAGAAGGGCUGGGACGACGACAAAGUGGAAUGAAAGCGAGCGCGAGGGAGGCGGAAGUCGAAGGGUGAAGGAAGGGGGAGAGGAAAAACGCGGGCGUAAAGAAAAGGAAAGGAAACGAAGGGAAACAGAAAGAAACGCAUGGCACGAGAAGGGUAGCUGGUUUCGACUUUGUAGUAGGCCUCGAUCGAUGCUGUUACCAUGGUUACAGGGCAGUACCGCGGUGCUCUACUACUGAUUAUUUAUGUCAAGGAUCCCUCCCUGCUUCGAAGCUCGGAGCGCAAACUGAAACGCGAAUCACCCUAACCGGAGUGGCGAUGGUCUUUCGAGUCUCCCUCUCGCAAGAUUUCCAACAAUUUUUUCACACCGAGUUUACACGUUGCGAACGUUACUCAAUUUUCAUCCUAGAAACCCGAAUUCGCUUUGUCGAAUCAAUCUUAUUUUCAAUUUCGUCUUCGAAAAUUUCCUACCGACGAAUCAGGCGAACGAUAAAGUCUCGUACUUAAAAAUUCCAAAUUGAAUCGAGUACGAUGUUAUCGAAAACGUAGAAUGAUUCGCUUAGUGAUACUACGACUAAAUUAAAUGCGAAUUCUUAUACUAUUUACACAAUUUUUUAACGUUGCUAACUUUGUGAUCUAUGUAUGUAACUACAUAUGUAUACAUGUAGAUAGAAAAAUGUCUCGCGAAAUCUAGCUCGAGAAGCAGAACGGGGUUUCUUCGAGCGAUUCAACAGCCACGGGAAACCAAUAAAAGUUAAUGACUCGAUUUAAGUGGUUUCACAGAACUUUUCCUUUCUUUCGUUUUUUUCUUACAAUGAAAGAGCUUUAAGAAAGACGUGACUAAAACGGACAUAUGUAUUUUAUAUGGUCUCUAAGAUCGGUGUCUAUCAGUUAUCGAGCAAUUUGUUUCUUUUACGAAAUCCCUAAGUUUCCUAAACUUUUGGUAAAUCAAUUUUCAGUGCUUUAAUCGUCCAGAUAAAUAAAAGUAUACGAAUUUGUACGUCGUAACCCAAGAGAUAGGUUAUGUCUAUUCAGCCAUAAUUUAAAAGAACUUUAACGUUACAAAAAGUAAAAAAGAUAACAUAAAGGAAUAGGGGUUCUUGUAAGAAAUGAGAUAAUAAGAUUAUCGGAUUAGAGGAUCAUAAGCCACCGGUAAAUUUUUUAAUGAAUCGUCUUAAAUGCGUUGAAGCGAAGAUUAGUUGGCAUUUAAAUGAUAGUUAUUAUUAAUGGCAAGUGACGACUGGAGAUGGAGCUUCGGUGCUCUUUUUAGAGCGAGCAGGACGGAGUAGAAUACGCAGAGGGAAGUAUUACCGUUGGGAAGGAUGCUUUCGACCCAGUUUCACCCUUCCAUGGUGGUGGAACCGUCAUGAGCAAUCGAUACUGCGUCAAGAGCCACGACGUCGUGCUCUAUCAUUAUGAGAGAUAUUGCUCUACCUUGCGCAGAAACGACAAUUAAACGCGAGUAAAAUGAUGUCAUCUUUCUCUUUUAACUUCUCUCUGCUCCUUUUUCGACAAGUUCUUUUUCUAACUCCGCGGCUGCCAAUAUAACCUAAUUUUUAGAUUGUAAUAUUCGACUAUUAGUUUAAAAAAAUAAUUUAACUCUAAAAUACUGCCUCUUUCUCUUGCGCUCUCUCUUUUCCUUGCCAAGGUGAUAUACAGUUUAUUAAAGUUAAUUAUUCGUUACAAUCAGUAAUAUACUCGUUACCUAUAACAGGCAUCUUCGCCAUUUACCGUAUAGUUUCUUGAAAGUCGGAUAAUUUAUAAUUUUAGCGUGUUAAUAAACGUAUGAUUGGAGAAUAAUGUAAAAAUUUUGUUACUGCUACUUUGAAUAUGCCGUAUCUUUACAUGAAGAUGAUUAUUUGGUACAUUAUAUACGUACAUUCACAAUGUACCUUUUACGUAUUCGUCACGGAGUGUUUAUAAUGUACCACCAUUUGCAUUCACUUGAAUGCAAAAUAACCAUAUUUUUAAGAAUUAUGAUAAAACCGUCAAAAUAGUGCGUCAUGAGUUACGAUAUAAAGACGAAUCCGAAAACAAUUUGUUACAAAAAAUAAUAAAGAAAUCAAUUUUCUUAUGA